GUGAGAAGGUGCUGUGGUACCCGCCGUGCUGAGGCGCUUCCCUGUGCGAGCACACUGAGUUUGCUUAGGGUUGGCUUUGCUUUUUCCUUCUCUGUGGAGGGGAAAAGAGUGGAAGGCUACAAAGUCCAAAGGCAGUGAGGUGCCAGAACGUGUAACCCUGUCUCUUCCCGUUAACUCUAUGGCAGUCUUCUGCACGCCUCCUGGAAAUGUCAUUCACUGGGAGGCUUCCUAGUCCCAUUUCCUCUGUCUUUUUGCUGCCUUCUGCUUGUACGGCAUGUAUGUUUCUGCCAUUUCACUGUAGACAAAAUGCAUUCAUCUAUUUUUCUUGCCUUACAGAAAGAAGACGACAACGAAAAGAGAGGAGAGUGGAGCUGAAGAAGGCUGCCCUCAGAGCUGCCGCUGCACGUGCAGAGGUGAGUCCUUGGUGAACGCAGACACGGCUCUUGUUGUUCUCAGGGCCUCUGUCUGUCACACAUGAAAGGAAGAGACUGUAAAAUCCCGAGGGAAGUGGUGUCCUGUUUCUACCCUCGCUCCGUUUCUUCCCAGGCCUCCGCAGUGGACAGCCUUGUGGAGAUGAUGCAGAAGCUGCAGCUGAGGGACUGAGAGGAGGAGCGUCAGCAGGCAGCAGCUUCUGCAGUGCGUGGCGUUACAGGGCAGCGCUGAGUGCCGCCCAUCUCAGCACUCCACCUUCAAACGUAGUCAAUAAAAACCAGUCAAAUUUAUAGAUUCACAGAGAGCGCACGGCCUGAUUUGUCCAGCGGCACUCGGAGAGCUGCUGCACCACCUCCUCGUUAUUGGUCUCGCGGCGCUCGCUCAGAACUGCCACAGCUCCGUCAGCGAAUGCUGCCGUCCAGUGUUGCAACAAAGGCAGCAGUCCUUUGCACUGCCCACAGACAGACUGUCUGC
rnacentral:lncRNA from 1 species